rnacentral:rRNA from 1 species
UACGUAGGGUGCAAGCGUUGUCCGGAAUUAUUGGGCGUAAAGAGCUCGUAGGCGGUCUGUCGCGUCGGCUGUGAAAACUCGGGGCUCAACCCCGAGCCUGCAGUCGAUACGGGCAGACUAGAGUGCUGUAGGGGAGACUGGAAUUCCCGGUGUAGCGGUGAAAUGCGCAGAUAUCGGGAGGAACACCGGUGGCGAAGGCGGUUCUCUGGGCCGAUACUGACGCUGAGGAGCGAAAGCGUGGGGAGCGAACAGG